rnacentral:rRNA from 1 species
GAUGAACGCUAGCUACAGGCUUAACACAUGCAAGUCGAGGGGAAACGAUGAGAGAGCUUGCUCUCUUAGGCGUCGACCGGCGCACGGGUGAGUAACGCGUAUCCAACCUGCCCAUUACAGGGGAAUAACCUUGCGAAAGUAAGACUAAUGCCCCAUGGUAUUCUCAGCAGACAUCUAAUGAGGAUUAAAGAUUUAUCGGUAAUGGAUGGGGAUGCGUCUGAUUAGCUUGUUGGCGGGGUAACGGCCCACCAAGGCAACGAUCAGUAGGGGUUCUGAGAGGAAGGUCCCCCACAUUGGAACUGAGACACGGUCCAAACUCCUACGGGAGGCAGCAGUGAGGAAUAUUGGUCAAUGGGCGAGAGCCUGAACCAGCCAAGUAGCGUGCAGGAAGACGGCCCUAUGGGUUGUAAACUGCUUUUAUAGGGGAAUAAAGUGAUCUACGUGUAGUUUAUUGUAUGUACCCUA